rfam:Drosophila virilis strain TSC#15010-1051.87 Ctg01_13784, whole genome shotgun sequence.
CAAAAGGUUUUCCUCAAAAUCACAUAAAUUUUAUUAAAAUAAAUU